rnacentral:lncRNA from 1 species
GGUGAGAGGGUACCGGGUAUUACCGGGUCACACUGGGUGAGAGGGUACCGGGUAUUACCGGGGUCACGCUGGGUGAGAGGGUGCCGGGUAUUACCGGGGUCACACUGGGUGAGAGGGUACCGGGUAUUACCGGGGUCACACUGGGUGAGAGGGUGCCGGGUAUUACCGGGUCACACUGGGUGAGAGGGUGCCGGGUAUUACCGGGGUCACACUGGGUGAGAGGGUACCGGGUAUUACCGGGGUCACGCUGGGUGAGAGGGUACCGGGUAUUACCGGGGUCACGCUGGGUGAGAGGGUACCGGGUAUUACCGGGGUCACACUGGGUGAGAGGGUACCGGGUAUUACCGGGGUCACACUGGGUGAGAGGGUACCGGGUAUUACCGGGUCAUGCGGGGUGAGAGGGUGCCGGGUAUUACCGGGGUCACACUGGGUGAGAGGGUGCCGGGUAUUACCGGGUCACACUGGGUGAGAGGGUGCCGGGUAUUACCGGGGUCAAGCUGGGUGAGAGGGUACCGGGUAUUACCGGGGUCACACUGGGCACUGGGUGAGAGGGUACCGGGUCACGCGGGGUGAGAGGGUGCCGGGUAUUACCGGGGUCACACUGGGUGAGAGGGUGCCGGGUAUUACCGGGUCACACUAGGUGAGAGGGUGCCGGGUAUUACCGGGGUCACACUGGGUGAGAGGGUGCCGGGUAUUACCGGGUCACACUGGGUGAGAGGGUGCCGGUGGCUACCG